UACAGAGGGUGCGAGCGUUGUUCGGAAUUAUUGGGCGUAAAGGGCGCGUAGGCGGUGCGGUAAGUCACCUGUGAAAUCUCCUGGCUCAACUGGGAGCUUGCAGGCGAAACUGCCGUGCUGGAGUGUGGGAGAGGUGCGUGGAAUUCCCGGUGUAGCGGUGAAAUGCGCAGAUAUCGGGAGGAACACCGGUGGCGAAGGCGGUUCUCUGGGCCUUACCUGACGCUGGAAGGAGCGAAAGCGUGGGGAG
rnacentral:rRNA from 1 species